UAGGGAAUCCUACGGGAGGCAGCAGUGGGGAAUAUUGCACAAUGGGGGAAACCCUGAUGCAGCAACGCCGCGUGAGUGAUGAAGGCCUUGAGGAUUGUAAAGCUCGGUCAUACAGCGACAGAUAAUGACGGAUCGGAGGCAUACGCACCAAGAG
rnacentral:rRNA from 2 species